GGGGCUACCCGCUGAAUUUAAGCAUAUCAAUAAGCGGAGGA
rnacentral:rRNA from 1 species